UACGAAGGGGGCUAGCGUUGCUCGGAAUCACUGGGCGUAAAGGGUGCGUAGGUGGCGCGCUAAGUCGGGUGUGAAAUUUCGGAGCUUAACUCCGAAACUGCAUUCGAUACUGGUGUGCUUGAGGACUGGAGAGGAGACUGGAAUUCAUGGUGUAGCAGUGAAAUGCGUAGAGAUCAUGAGGAAGACCAGUGGCGAAGGCGGGUCUCUGGACAGUUCCUGACACUGAGGCACGAAGGCCAGGGGAGCAAACGGG
rnacentral:rRNA from 1 species